UACGGAGGAUGCGAGCGUUGCUCGGAAUCACUGGGCGUAAAGGGCGCGUAGGCGGCUUUUUAAGUCGGGGGUGAAAGCCUGUGGCUCAACCACAGAAUUGCCUUCGAUACUGGAAAGCUUGAGACCGGAAGAGGACAGCGGAACUGCGAGUGUAGAGGUGAAAUUCGUAGAUAUUCGCAAGAACACCAGUGGCGAAGGCGGCUGUCUGGUCCGGUUCUGACGCUGAGGCGCGAAAGCGUGGGGAGCAAAC
rnacentral:rRNA from 1 species